UACGGGGGGGGCAAGCGUUGUUCGGAAUCACUGGGCGUAAAGGGCGCGUAGGCGGCCAUAUAAGUCGGGGGUGAAAGCCUGUGGCUCAACCACAGAAUUGCCUUCGAUACUGUAUGGCUCGAGACCGGAAGAGGUAAGUGGAACUGCGAGUGUAGAGGUGAAAUUCGUAGAUAUUCGCAAGAACACCAGUGGCGAAGGCGGCUUACUGGUCCGGUUCUGACGCUAAGGCGCGAAAGCGUGGGGAGCAAACAGG
rnacentral:rRNA from 1 species